GAAAUGCGAUAAGUAAUGUGAAUUGCAGAAUUCAGUGAAUCAUCGAAUCUUUGAACGCACAUUGCGCCCUCUGGUAUUCCGGGGGGCAUGCCUGUUCGAGCGUCAUUAUAACCACUCAAGCUCUCGCUUGGUAUUGGGGUUCGCGGUUCCGCGGCCCCUAAAAUCAGUGGCGGUGCCUGUCGGCUCUACGCGUAGUAAUACUCCUCGCGAUUGAGUCCGGUAGGUCUACUUGCCAGCAACCCCCAAUUUUUACAGGUUGACCUCGGAUCAGGUAGGGAUACCCGCUGAACUUAA
rnacentral:misc_RNA from 1 species